GCCCGUCGCUCCUACCGAUUGGAUGACUCGGUGAAAUCACCGGAUGCUUACGAGCAGAAAGUGAUUAAAUCACGUUAUCUAGAGGAAGGAGAAGUCGUAACAAGGUAACGGUAGGUGAACCUGCCGUUGGAUCAGUUCUAGUUUUAAUAACUAACACCAACUUCUUUUAUUAACAAAACCAAUACAAAAUUAAAACUAACUUCAUCAAAAACCAAGUCUCUAGCAUGGAUGUCUUGGCUCCUCACACGAUGAGACGUGCAUAUGUGU
rnacentral:rRNA from 1 species